UUAUACAGGGUAUAUCAAAAAAAGGUAAUCGAACUUCAGCGCGCUAUUGCAUCUGAAUUACUCUGCGUAUGAACGAGAUUUUUUCACAUUCGGAAAGAUCAUGCUUUUAGCUGUUGAAUGAUAUCUUCUUCAUGCCAAAUGGAUAAAAAAUGAGCAAAUACGAAUCCGAUAAAAAUGUUAGUCAGAAUCAUAUAUUUUCACCGUUGAGAGUUG